rnacentral:tRNA from 1 species
AAACAAGAAACAAAUUAUUGUAUUUAGUUUCGACCUAAAAUUCUGGCUUAAUAGCCCUUGUUUU